AACGAACGCUGGCGGCAGGCCUAACACAUGCAAGUCGAGCGAAGUCUUCGGACUUAGCGGCGGACGGGUGAGUAACGCGUGGGAACGUGCCCUUUGGUUCGGAAUAGCCCCGGGAAACUGGGAGUAAUACUGGAUGAGCCCUACGGAGGAAAGAUUUAUCGCCAAAGGAUCGGCACGCGUUGGACUAGGUAGUUGGUGGGGUAAUGGCCUACCAAGCCGACGAUCCAUAGCUGGUUUGAGAGGAUGAUCAGCCACACUGGGACUGAGACACGGCCCAGACUCCUACGGGAGGCAGCAGUGGGGAAUCUUAGACAAUGGGGGAAACCCUGAUCUAGCCAUGCCGCGUGAUCGAUGAAGGCCUUAGGGUUGUAAAGAUCUUUCAGUGGGGAAGAUAAUGACUGUACCCACAGAAGAAGCCCCGGCUAACUCCGUGCCAGCCGCCGCGGUAACAC
rnacentral:rRNA from 1 species